rnacentral:tRNA from 1 species
GCCGAGGUAGCUCAGCUGGUUAGAGCGAGGGAUUCAUAACCCCUAGGUCGCCGGUUCAAGUCCGGCUCUCGGCA